rnacentral:misc_RNA from 1 species
GAUGAAGAACGUAGCGAAAUGCGAUACUUGGUGUGAAUUGCAGAAUCCCGUGAACCAUCGAGUCUUUGAACGCAAGUUGCGCCCGAAGCCAUUAGGCCGAGGGCACGCCUGCCUGGGCGUCACACGUCGUUGCCCCCCCCAUCUACUCCUUCGGGAUUGCGGGGGGCGGAUGAUGGCCUCCCGUGCGCCUCGUCGCGCGGUUGGCAUAAAUGCCAAGUCCUCGGCGACACACGCCACGACAAUCGGUGGUUGCGAAACCUCGGUUGCCCGUCGUGUGCGGUCGUCGCGCAUCGAGGGCUCGAAAAAAUUGCCGGGCUCCGGCUCGGCUUUCAACGCGACCCCAGGUCAGGCGGGGUUACCCGCUGAAUUUAAGCAUAUCAAUAAGCGGAGA